CAUUGGCAAGAGAUUUAGAAAAGGCUGUAUCUGGCAUUUGACCACCGUCUUGUCCACAGAAAUGGAAGCAAGAGCUUGUUUGAAAAUGGGAGCAAUGCCCAGGAAGGAGGAGCAGAAAGAAGGAAAGCAGAAUGAAAAGGGCCAAUCUAAAGCAGCUAAUGCAUCUGACUGUAAUCAGAAGAAUAUUUCACUUUCACUCCUGGUUAGAAUAUUUACAACAGGUACUUUUCCCUUUAGAUACAACUCACAGGUGUGAGGACUGGCUGAUGAGGAGAAAAAAUUCCUGCAACACUACCAGAUAUAUAUAGAAGACUUAUUUCAGGU